AAUGAACGUUGGCGGCGUGGAUUAGGCAUGCAAGUCGCGCGAUUUCCUUCGGGGAAGAGCGUCGGAAGGGAGAGUAACGCGUAGAUACCUACCCUCGGGACUGGAAUAGCGACGGGAAACUGUCGGUAAUGCCAGAUAACGUCCCUGGACCAAAGGUGUGAAUCCGCCUGCGGAGGGGUCUGCGUCCUAUUAGCUAGUUGGCGGGGUAACGGCCCACCAAGGCGAAGAUGGGUACCGGGCGAGAGAGCGUGACCCGGCUCACUGGGACUGAGACACUGCCCAGACACCUACGGGUGGCUGCAGUCGAGAAUCUUCGGCAAUGAGCGCAAGCUUGACCGAGCGACGCCGCGUGCGGGAUGAAGGCUUUCGGGUUGUAAACCGCUGUCAGUGGGGAGGAAAUUCUUGGGGGUACUCCCCCUUGAUUGACCGAUCCGCAGAGGAAGGACGGGCUAAGUUCGUGCCAGCAGCCGCCGUAAAAC
rnacentral:rRNA from 1 species